rnacentral:rRNA from 1 species
GAUGAACGCUGGCGGCGUGCCUAAUACAUGCAAGUAGAACGCUGAAGGAAGGAGCUUGCUCUUUCCGGAUGAGUUGCGAACGGGUGAGUAACGCGUAGGUAACCUGCCUGGUAGCGGGGGAUAACUAUUGGAAACGAUAGCUAAUACCGCAUAACAGUAGAUGUUGCAUGAUAUCUACUUAAAAGGUGCAAUUGCACCACUACCAGAUGGACCUGCGUUGUAUUAGCUAGUUGGUGAGGUAACGGCUCACCAAGGCGACGAUACAUAGCCGACAGGAGAGGGUGGUCGGCCACACUGGGACUGAGACCCGGCCCAGACGGCUACGGGAGGCAGCAGUAGGGAAUCUUCGGCAAUGGACGGAAGUCUGACCGAGCAACGCCGAGUGAGGGAAGAAGGUUGUCGGAUCGUAAAGAUCUGUUGUAAGAGAAGAACGAGUGUGAGAGUGGAAAGUUCACACUGUGACGGUAUCUUACCAGAAAGGGACGGCUAACUACGUG